CACAGCCGUCAAACGCACACUGAGCGUAGGCGCGCUUCAAGGAUGAGUGCCGCCGUUGUCGAUGGACGCCACGAAACAUGUUCCAUGGGCUGCUUUGUUUCACCCUUUGCCUCUAGCUCGCUCCGCGUGACCUCAUCGAGUGCACCAACUCGCAGAUAGGCCCCAUCCUGAACAGUACAACGCACACAGCUGCGCGCGCGCACCAGGUGAGCACCUCCGACCUAAAGCGCCCGCAUAUGCGCUGCUAUCGCAGCGCAGCAAACACGAAGGCUAUUUAGUAGCCUUUGUGAGAGUCAAGGCGCUCCCCACGCCACCGUCACUGACGCACGCGCUCAGAACCUGCUGACGCACCCUCAGCCUGGUGAAAGCACCGGCUCCCUGCGCACACAGCUGUGGACACCGUCGCCCCUGCUGCGGGUUGCCACGUCCACUGCCCACACUAAAUCUCUGAAUCUGACCCUCUGGCAGCGGGCCCAGCACCAGCCAGGCCAUGAGACAACUGGCUCGAGGCUUAUCGCCCGCUGCGCAUCUGCAGUCUCAGCACACCCCGUGUGAGUAGAUUGUCGGGCCAGCCCCCCGAGAGCGCCGUCGCGCGGGUCUUGCGCGACGGCGAACUCCGUGUUAAGCUACCCAGGCACAAAUAGCUGUAAGCAAGGAGUGGAGUCUUCUCCCGGCGUGUCCAUCUCACCCGCCCCACCGUUGAACGUGGGAAGAGCGGUGCGGCCGCCCACGCGACCUUUGCCGAAAGCGCUGGAACAGCAAUGCCGGCUCUCCUCGCCGACCUGGUGCGUCGGCCUCGCAGUGCCGCCUGGCUGGCUCAAGGAGGUGCUGCACUUUCGCGACUGUAGCGCAUCAGCGGAUGAGUAAGUGAACACACGGCAGAGCUGCACCCCCCCCCCCCUCCUCCUCCAUAGAGCCGGUGAUGCGACGCGUGUGACAUGAAGCGGCCAUUGCGCCUACGGGUGCCACCGCUGCCGGACAGAAUGUGGCGAAGGCGCUUACACGCUAAGCGUGUACACCUCAGGGACGGCAGACACCACAAAAAUGUACCAGCGACAGUGGAUGCUGGCGUGAGGUCAGAUUCGGGGACAGGCUAGUUUCAUCCAGUAUGUCCACGAGCUUGCAUGCGCCAUCCUCGUUGAUUCGCGCUUUGGACACUGCUGCUGCAUUCCAUACCGCGUCCACGCUCCCCGCCGUACUGAAGUGGACCAGGGAUGUGCUAGCCGCGCAGGUUGUCGCCAAAAUGUGGUGUCAGCGCGCGCCGUCUCGAACACACUUCUCCCUCUGCUACAUAGCAACGCGAAGGAAAACCACUUCGCACUUCAUUGCUUCGGCUGUUGCGCAUCUAUUGCCAAGCACGGCUCACACGCGCACACCGUCACCCCUCUCUCUUUCUUUUCCUCCUUUUUCAUGGCUUCCUCUCUAUGGGCCGGGUAGUCCUUCCACCCACCCACCCCCUCUCCCUCCUACUUGGUCCUUCACCUUCAGCUGCCCCUUUCUUGCUUCCAUGCUCUUUGGCGCUUUCUUUAAUUGUUUCCGCUACUGGUAUACUAUGCAGGCACGCGUGUGUCAUGUGUGGUGGUGCCGAUGCACAUCUGUGUGUACGUGUGCGUGUGUACUAUUGAGUUUGCGUGUACGGCGUCGCUUGUUGGCGAGCGCCCUUUUUUGGCGUAUCGUUCACAAGAAGGUCGGCAUGCCUUUUUCCCUGGUGAUAUGUCCUGAUAUUGCGGCAUGUUUGGCGUUUUUCCAACGUUUUUGCCUGCUUCUCCCAUUCUUUCUGCAUGCGCCCGCCUCAAUUCCCUCUCUAUUUCUGUAUGUGUGCUGUUUUGGCUGGUGGACCACCACCCUUGCCGGUGAAGGCGAGACAUACAUGUUGCCAUCUACGUCUGUACUUACACCGAAGCGUAUAUACCCCCACAUCCUGUGAGAGAGGCACGUGCGCGUUGAGUUUCGAUGUGUUACCAAGUCUGUUGCGCCACGUGCACGCCUACGCAGUCAUGAUGCUCGCGCUCUUCUAUGCUGCUUUUUACGGCUGCGCUGUAUUCAUUUUCUUCUUUCUCGAGAGGAUACCCUUUGCGUCGGCCGAGCAUCACCCUCUCUCGGUUAUACCCACCCAUGAGCACCACAAACCCAGGCUUGAACCAUGGACACAACCCUGCGACGCCCUCAUCUCCGGCGUUUCUCGACCAUGGGCGCGGCCCCAGGCCUUCCAUGUUCCACACCCUGUCAGAGUGUAGAUCAACUGAGUAUUGAGUCUUCUCUCUUCUCCGGCUAGCCAUCUACAGGAACGCUAAGCCCUGGCCUGAAAAAAAACGAAGACCGAGCUGCGGCUGCGUCCUCGUCCUCGGGCGGUACUCAUGUACGCGAAAGAUAUCCAUGCAUCUUUCGAUGUACUUGCGCACUCCCAUUUCGACCCCCCCCUCACGCUCUCCUCCAACGCCUCUUUGCCGGGUGUGCCCGCGUGCACUGGAUUCUUGAAACGUUUUAUCUCUGCGCCUUCUCACAACCCCGCCUGUUUUGUGUGCUGUGUUUUGUUGUUGUCCCAUCCGUGCCGGAUAACAUCGUUGGCACCGUUUUCCACUGGCACCGCCUGCUCUGUCUUUCCGUUUCUCUUCCUCUUGCGCUGGUUCCAUCGCCGACUGCUGUACCCACCCACUCACCCAUACCCACACGCAAACGCACCGCCGUCGUCGGCUUGCGCUCUCCUGUGUCUCAG
rnacentral:misc_RNA from 1 species